rnacentral:rRNA from 1 species
ACGGUUCCUUCGGGGAACAGUGGCGGACGGGUGAGUAACACGUGGGAACGUGCCCUUUGGUACGGAACAACUGAGGGAAACUUCAGCUAAUACCGUAUGUGCCCUUCGGGGGAAAGAUUUAUCGCCAUUGGAGCGGCCCGCGUUGGAUUAGGUAGUUGGUGAGGUAAAGGCUCCCCCAGCCUACGAUCCAUAGCUGGUCUGAGAGGAUGAUCAGCCCCACUGGGACUGAGACCCGGCCCCGACUCCUACGGGAGGCAGCAGUAGGGAAUCUUGCGCAAUGGGCGAAAGCCUGACGCAGCCCUGCCGCGUGAAUGAUGAAGGUCUUAGGAUUGUAAAAUUCUUUCACCGGGGACGAUAAUGACGGUACCCCGGAGAAGAAGCUCUCGGCUAACUUCGUGCCAGCAGCCGCGGUAAUACGAAGGGGGCUAGCGUUGCUCGGAAUUACUGGGCGUAAAGGGCGCGUAGGGCGGAUAGUUUAGUCAGAGGUAAAAGCCCAGGGGCUCUAACCUUGGAACUGCCUUUGAUACUGGCUAUCUUGAGUACGGGAGAGGUGUGUGGAACUCCCGAGUGUAGAGGUGAAAUUCGUAGAUAUUCGGAAGAACACCCAGUGGCGGAAGGCGACUUACCUGGGCCCCGUUAUCUGACGCCUGAGGCGCGAAAGCGUGGGGGAGCAAACAG